rnacentral:lncRNA from 1 species
GAAAAAAUCCCAGAAAGAAACGGAAGGUUUACAUUGCGAAUAUGUAGCAGAGCCGGUAAUGGCUCAGUCAACGCAAAAUGUUGACUAUAAUCAAUUACAGGAGGUGAUAUAUCCUGAAACGUUAAAAUUGGAAGGAAAAGGUCCAGAAUUAGUGGGGCCAUCAGAGUCUAAACCACGAGGCACAAGUCAUCUUCCAGCAGGUCAGGUGCCCGUAACAUUACAACCUCAAAAGCAGGUUAAAGAAAAUAAGACCCAACCGCCAGU